AUACUUAACUGGCAGGGAGAUAUUGUGAUCAUGAAGGUGGUUUUCCUGGGGCGAGGCUUAUCCACUGAACUCUGGAUGUGCUGAUCCUUGCAAUUUCCCCAAUUUGGGAAACUUGACUGCAUAAUUUGUGGUAGCAGGUGUCUGCAUUCAUGAUCUCCUC
ensembl:snRNA U1 U1 spliceosomal RNA